GGUGACCUGCCACAUAAAUACAGAGACAUCAGAGAACUGCUUGUCCAAGACAGGUACCCAGAGAACAAACAACAGAAAACAAACCAAGCAUCCCUCUGGCAGCUCCGAGUGGAAGAACUGCUAUUAAUACAAUACAACGGUUAUUUCCACACAAACUGGCUGGAAAAGUGCAAUUUCCUGUGGUACACAAUUUGAAAACUAAUGCUGGUUGUGAACAGUGAUGACGGCAGAGACCAACUUUGUCCCCUGUGAAGUUUCUUAGAUUGUGCCAGCAGGAAGCCUCCUCAGAAGGAGCAGGAAAACAGGAAAAUCACGAAGCGGAACCAUCCCUUUCAUCUGCUGGACAUCCACAGAGCAGAGAAUACAGCGUGAUCUGGACUUUCCAUAUUAGGUCCAACUGUAUGAAGUUGCCAAUAUUGGAUGGUUUUUGACCUACAAAGAUGGCAAUUCAUACUCUACAGCUAUCGAUUGACAGAGAACAAGUUACCAUUUACUGAUGUCUGACAUAUGUGAUCUCGCUAAGGCCGUGCAGAACCCUGCCAGGUAGGCAAAAUCAUCCCCAUGGUCAUAUGGGGAAACUGAGGCAUGCAGGUUCACUCAUGAGUCCAAGGCUGUCUGGCUUGUAAGCAGUAGAAGUAGGAUUUGAAUCCAGGUCUGUCUGGAUUCAAACUCUAGGGACAAAGUUCCUCCAUGCCAGAUGCAUUUCUACCUCCCAGAAGUGUCACCUCUCAUCAGAACAAGCUGAGAAAGGUGGACAGGUGCUCAACUGUGUGGGAAUCCUGUUUAAGAGGUGAGGCUGCUCCCCACCAGGGCAUGCGGCGAGAGCUCACUGAGAAAUAUCAUCACACAAGUGAACAUGCAGAAUUAAUGGCCUACUACUGAAUUAAUAAUCAGAUGAAUAUUAUUAGCAAUACAUGAGUACAGGAGAGUACACUGAGUGAGGAAAGAGUCUGGGUUUCUGUGAAGGCCACUCAAAGAGAAGAAAUCCUUGUCUACUCCAUGCAGGGAACAAACCAGUAACAUAUAGGGUUCAAUGUGUGUAAAAUCUUAGAAUCUGUUUUAUUUAUUUAUUUUGUUUUUUGAGUUAGGGUCUGGGUCUGGCUCUGUCUCCCAGGCUGAAAUGCAGAGAAACAAUCUCAGCUCACUGCAUCCUCUGCCUCCUGGGCUCAAACCAUCCUCCCACCUCAGCUUCUCAAGUAGCUAGGAUUACAGGCGUAUGCCACCAUGCCUGGCUAAUUUUUUUAAUUUUUAGUAGAGAUGGGGUUUUGCCAUAUGGCCCAGGCUGGUCUCAAACUUCUGAACUCAAGUGAUCCACCCGCCUCGACCUCCCAAAGUGCUGGGAUCAUGGGCGUAAGUCACUGUUUCCAGCCAGGAAUCUAUUUUAAAUGCACAACCAAUUUAGGAAAAAGAUUAUUAUUUUAUAUUGCCUCUUUCAUAUAGAGCAGUGCUUUUGUUUUUGUUUUUUUUGAGAUGGAGUCUUGCUUUGUCGCCCAGGCUGGAGUGCAGUGGCGUGAUCUUGGCUCACUGCAACCUCUGCCUACCAGGUUCAAGCGAUUCUCCUGCCUCAGCCUCCUUAGUAGCUGGGACUAUAGGUGCACACAACUAUGCCCAGCUAAUUUUUUGAUGUUUAGUACAGAUAGAGUUUCACCAUGUUGGCCAGACUGGUCUCAAACUCCUGACCUCAAGUGAUCUGCCUGCCUCAGCUCCCCAAAGUGCUGUGAUUAUAGGCGUGAGCCACCAUGCCUGGCCGGAGCAGUGAUUCUUAAAAGUGUGUGUGUGGGGGGUGUAUGUGUAUGGGUGUGCAAUUUUGUUUCCUAUGGGACAUUUGCAAAUGUGUGGAUACAUUUUUGGUUUACACAAUUUGCAGGGUGAGGAGGUUACUACUGGCCUUUAGUGGGUAGAGGCCAGGGUGCAAUAAGUAGGAUAGCUCCCGUAGUAAAGAACUACCAGCCUCAGCCUCAAAUGUGGCCCCUCAACUACCGUACUACUGCCGAAAUACUCCGCAAUAGAAAAUGGCAGUCUACAAUGAGAAUCAAAUCACAAAAUGGGGGCUGGUACAGUGGCUCACGCCUGCAAUCCCACCGAGGUGGGUGGAUCACCUGAACCAGGAAACCAACCUGGGCAACAAGCAAGACCCUGCCUCUACAAAAAAUACAAAAACCAGUCGGGUGCAGUGGCAUGCACCUGUGGUCCCAGCUACUUGGGAGGCUGAGGUGGGAGGAUCAAUUGAGCCUAGGAAGUCGAGAUUGCAGUGAGCUAUGAUCAUGUCACUGCACUCCAGCCUGCAAGACAGAGUGAGACUCUGUCUCUAAAACAUCAAAUCAAAUCAAAUCAAAUCACAAAAUUGAUCUAACUCCAGUUAAAACAGUUGAUGCUAAAAUGCUAUUUUCUUUUUCUUUUUUUCUUGAGACAGAGUCCCGCUCUAUCGCCAGGCUGGAGUGCAGUGGCGUGAUGCCGGCUCACUGCAACUUCCAUUUUCCAGUUUCAAGCAAUUCUCCUGCCUCAGCGUCCUGAGUACCUGGGACUGCAGGCACACACCACCACGCCUGGCUAAUUUUUUGUAUUUUUAGUAGAGACGGGGUUUCACCAUGUUGGCCAGGAUGGUCUCGAUCUCUUGACCUCGUGAUCCACCCACCUCAGCCUCCCAAAGUGCUGAGAUUACAGUCUUGAGCCACCGCGCCCUGCCAGUGCUCUUAUUUUCUAAAGCUGCAUGUUGCUAGCCCUCUGUCAAGAUCCUCAGCAAUAGGUACAACAGCUAAAAGAGAACCCUCAGCUGGAAGCUUGAAGUGGGCAUGGAGAGUGUGGCUCUGACACGUGGAGUCCCCCAGCAUUUGUGUAUUUCCCUUGGCUAAUGAGCAACACACGUGUUCAUUUUUUUCGGUUCCUCUGAAGCUAGCCAGCCAUGGUGAUACGAUGAUUCACACCUCUGCCUUACUCAGGAGUGUGCAUCAGUCUUACUUCCAGGCCACAUCUAUAUGGGGGAAGUCUAGGGGUCUUCCCAGCCCUACCUGACCUCCUCAUGAACUCAAGUAUUUUUAUUCAAAGCAUGACUGAAAAUGCAGAUAAUGUAAGAUUAUGCAGUGCGAUUCCAAGGUAGAGAGGCAAUUUUGCAUCUCAUAUAAUGCAAAAAUUAAAAUAAUUUUCCAGCUCUUCGUUGAAGACAAAGUUAUCUCUUUUUCAUGGUGACACAGGCUUGUGGAAGUUUCCCAACGAACAGAAGGGGCGUGUGCAGGUCUCCAGCUCCGAGCUGCCGGGGCUGAGCAGUGUGUAGUAGGAAGCACAUUCCUGCUCUGUCGGAAACAUCGCAAACCUCUCUGAGGAACUUGCUCAUGAAAUAAGACUUCCUGAAUUCGCUUCAGUUGGCCUAUGGCUGUCUACCAGAUGCUCUUCUUUAGCAAAGCCCGAUUUUAGAAGAUCUAACUAACCCAGAGCAUGGUGUGUGCUUAUGUGUGCUCCUGAAAGCUUCCUUUUUUCCCAAGGAUUCAUUCAUUCCAACUUCAAAUAGCCAGCACAUUAAAUUAAAAAAAAAAAAAAAAAACGAUUUGACUGACACCAAACUUUUCAGAAAUUAUUCUAAAGCCAGUAGGUAAUGUCUGCAAACGUUGGGUCUCGUUGAAUUAUUUAGAGACCUAAUACCUGGUGACAAAAUAAUCUGUACCACCCCCUGCACGGCAUGAGUUUACCUAUGUAACAAACCUGCACAUGUACCCCUGAACUUAAUAUGCAAGUUAAAGGGAAGGUGAAGCAGAAGAAAGGAAGAGCAAGACAGCAGCGGGGAAAAGGCGCCGGGGCGCGAAUCCCUGCCCUCCUCCCGCCAGCUCCAGCCCUCUCGGGAACUUCAGAAAAGCAAAUGAACAAACACUCCUGAAUUCAGAGAGGACUGGAGGUCGGGGUUCUAACCGCAGGACAGAGAGAAGAGGCUGGGAGCCUCCUGGAAGAUGGUGUCUCUGUGCAGUCACUUCACUGUGAUGCUGUGCAAAUGGUCCACUUGCCUCUUACGGUGCCUUCUAGCUCCUCUCACAAUAAUCUGUUCUUUUAUAUUGAACUGUCAUGAAAAUAAAAUAUCUAACAUAAAUGUCUAGGGGUUAUUUUAUUUAUUUUAUUGAGAUGGAGUUUUGCUCUGUCGCCCAGGUUGGAGUGCAAUGGUACGAUCUCAGCUCACUGCAACCUCUGCCUCCUGGGUUCAAGUGAUUCUCUUGUCUCAGCUUCCCAAGUGGAGGGGACUACAGGUGCGCACCACCAUGCCUGACUAGUUUUGUAUUUUUAGUAGAGACAGGGUUUUACCAUAUUGGUCAGGCUGGUCUCGAACUCCUGACCUCAAGUGAUCCACCUGCCUCAACCUCCCAAAAUGCGGAGAUUACAGGUGUGAGCCACCACACCCAACCAGAUCCAGGGAUUUAAAAGUAACACUGCAAGAGCCCUCAACUCACAGCCAGGGUUCCAUAGAUCAGCCGUGACACUGCAGAGUUAGAAUUCCAGAUUACAAGCAUCACUCCCCAUAACCUGUGUCCAUUCUGACUCCAUUCUGUCAGAAUUCUUACUACAAAGAAGAGAUGAGUUUUUCAAAGGACCAGAGAGUUAGGGUUUCACAAGAGAUGAAGCAAGCUGAUAUGACCUGAGAACGGUGAUGGUCCCCUGAGGACUCUGGGACCAAACUCGUCUGGUUGCAGCUUGAGUGUACACCUGCAGCCAGCCAGGUGCCGGAAAGUGUGCCCAGGUUCUCAGCCUGGCUGAGCAUCCUUCCAGAAAGAAAUGAGAUUUUGAUGUCUAAGAUGAAAAAUCUCUAGAGAAAACUCAAAAGGCAGUUUUCAGGAGAUGCCCACUUCUGAGCUGGGAUGGAAAGGUGUCUGGUGGUCUCGGGACCCGAUCUCCUGCGACCCAGGCUUGGGAGCAUUUCUCAGCAGACCUGAGCCCUUGUGCCUCUGCCAAGUUUGGUCCACUGAGUGUGCCUAUGUCUGGCUGAAGACGGCACCAGACGCCUUUUGUUUUGGAAGCCCUGAGCUGGCUGCUGGUAGGUCACCCAGCCCCACUCUUCCUGCAUCUGACCUUGGAAUGAGACUUCAGUGAGGGAAGGCAGGAGGAGGGGAAGUAACCGAUGAAAGCCAACAUCGAAAGUCUCAGACCCGACUCUAAGAGGCUUUCCAGGAAAUCCCCAGGAGAUGAAAGCCAGGCUUGUUCGGAAAGUUGGAGAUGUGGAAGGAUUCAGUGCCUGGAACCUGGCCUGUAAACGACUGCUUGGCAGUGGGCAGGCAGGAAGAGGAAUGUGGUAUGCUCCCAGUGUGGUCUGUCUGAAUUCUGCACUGAGUGUAAGGGGGUUUACCCUUGCCUCCCUCCCUGUUAAAGUCAUCAUUAACACCCACUGGCUGAGAAAACUGCCCCUAGGCUUCCUCUAGGCCCUGUCUCACUCACCGACAUCAGAAUCUCACUUCAGAAUCCUGCCCAUGUUCUAUCCCCCCAGCACAUAGUUUUCUUUUGUAUCUACAAAUGAAAAUGCCAUAGAAACCCAAGGGAGGGAGAGUGAUCUAAGAACUAUGUCAGAGGUCCUCAGCUCCAGGCCUUGGGCAGCUCAAUGACGCACCCCUGAUUUCUGAAUGUAACCACACAGCAGAGUCACCUGUUUGCAGCAUAUCAAAAACCAGAGUCUAUGUUUGCACUGAGUAUAAGGCGGUGCAAACAUGCUGGGGGCAAUUCUGGGAGGACUCAUAAGAAGCUGGUAAUAGCGCUUGGCUCUGGGGAGGGGAAGGGAUAUUUAGCAGUUUUAAAAAUCCACUUAUGUUCUUACAUUGUAAGAAUCACAUAUUAAGUUUCAAAAAAGCAGUUUUAAAAUGACACGUCUUGGCCGGAUGUGGUGGCUCACGCCUGUAAUCCAAGCACUUUGGAGGCCAAGGUGGGCGGAUCACCUGAGGUGGGGAGUUCAAGACCAGCCUGACCAACAUCAUGAAACCCCGUCUUUAUGGAAAAAAAAAAAAAAAAAAAGACACGUCUUAGAGAUCUACAAUGUCAUACAAAUAUAAAUCUACCUUUUAUUUUUUUGAGACAGAGUUUUGCUCUUGUUGCCCAGGCUGGAGUGCAAUGGCGCAAUCUCAGCUCACCACAACCUCUGCCUCCUGGGUUCAGGCAAUUCUCCUGCCUCAGCCUCCCGAGUAGCUGGGAUUACAGGCACGCACCACCGUGCCCAGCUAAUUUUUUGUAUUUUCAGUAGAGACAGGGUUUCACCAUGUUGACCAGGAUGGUCUCGAUCUCUUGACCUUGUGAUCCACCCGCCUCAGCCUCCCAAAAUGCUGGGAUUACAGGCGUGAGCCACCGCGCCUGGCCCUAAAUUUACCUUUUCUUUUCAUUGGCUAUAUUGUAUUCCCCAGUAUGGCUUUAUUUAACCCAGGGCUUCUCAUCCUUGGCAGUACUGACAUUUGGGGGCUGGAUAAUUCUUUUUUUUUUUUUUUUUUUUUUUUAGACGGAGUUUCGCUAUUGUUACCCAGGCUGGAGUGCAAUGGCACGAUCUCGGCUCACUGCAACCUCCGCCUCCUGGGUUCAGGCAAUUCUCCUGCCUCAGCCUCCCGAGUAGCUGGGAAAAGGCACGCGCCACCAUGCCCAGCUAAUUUUUGUAUUUUUAGUAGAGACGGGGUUUCACCAUGUUGACCAGGAUGGUCUCGAUCUCUUGACCUUGUGAUCCACCCGCCUCAGCCUCCCAAAGUGCUGGGGUUACAGCCGUGAGCCACCACACCCAGCCUCAAACUGUGUUUUUUAUAUGCUUCACACAUUUUUGUUAACAGCUGGAUAUGAUGUACAGUAAAAGGAGCUCUGGUGAGUAGGCCUUUAGUGGUGUGGGAGAGAGGAAGCAUUCUGUAUUUCUGUUAUUAGGGCUCAGUUUUAGCAAGUCUGUGCCCCUGGGAUGUAAAUUUUGUAAGUGUUUUUAAGUACCCGUACCCGCCUUAGGUGAGAUAGGAUGUCUAGAAGGGGCUGGAGUUAGGUGUUUCCCUUCCAGCAGGUUGGUUUGGCUCUGAUAAAAUCCCAAUUGGUAAGGCUGUGGUAGAAUUGUUUCUCUUGAGGACAAGCUUUGUUAAAAACAGAGUGCUCUGGCAUAUUUCAAAAUGGUUACUUUCCCUCCCCCUGCCAGAAGCAUGAGAGAUCUUCAUGGUGAGACCUUCACUCUGAACCAGGGCCUGAGUGUGAUGUAGAGAUUCAGGUUCCAGAUUCUUGGCUCGUGAUGGGGCCAGAACAUUCUCUGCUUGCUAUUCUAGCCAGGUCACGUUCUCUUCAUCCCUAACCAAUUUCUCACAACAGUUGCAGCCCAGACAGAUGGUCUGUACCACAAUCCUAUGACCAAGUCACCACUGUAUUUCACUGGCAAAGGUCAUCAAGAUCACAUUUAGAAAGACUGGGCUAGAAAGCUCCACUUGUCAAAAAUGUCACUGCAUCCCAAAGGGCAGGAAGCACCGCUGGCGUUUACUGUGUAGCAAACCUGGUGGCUUGUGCUUGUGUUGCGCUGAACUGAAAUCACAAAGUCCGGUUUGCAGCAAGCAAUGGUUUUUCUCUAGCUUGUUUCUCUUUCAGUGUCUGACACAAUUUCCUGGUUUCCUUUGUGACUAAAUUUCAAGAUAGCACAAACAGCAUUUUCUGCCGCUCACUCUCGUCAUCACGACAGGACACAUCUUUAGACAACCACGGGAGCAAAAGGACAGGGCUGUGGACGGUCAUCUCCACAAGAAAAAUCCCUGGAGGAGUGGGUCGUCAGAGAGGACCAAGGGCAGCUGACACAAUGUGGGGAUGGGGAAUGUGAGGACUGAACCCCAAAGCAAAGGGUAUGUGCUCUGGCUGUCAGCACGAAUCCCAGGGUGACCAGAAGAGCAAAAGCAACUGCUAACCCUGACUGUACGCGCACUGCACACCAAGCUCUGUGUGCCCAUCUUAUCUUCAAAAACUUACAAGGUAGGCACUAUUACUCUCCUCACUGUACAGAAAGGAAGUGAGACACAGAGAUAUCGAGUGAUUUGAGCUGAUCACACAACCAGUGCAUCUGGAGCCAAAGCUGGGACCCAGGCAGCCUCUUCAGGACUGCUGCCUCUUGCUGCCAUAGCAGUAAUGCCCCUCGCCCUAGAGGAUGUGGCUCCAAAGCGUGCCCCAGCCUCAUCACUGGUUAUUGACAUGUGGUCAGCAAAAGUGAACAGCAUAGAGAGAAAUGGGUGGGGAAGAUGUCUGGGGGGUCAGGGCAUUGGAUACGCCUCGGGGAGGUGCGGGGGAAGGAAGCACUAGCUGAGGCAGGCAGAAGGUGUGGAAGGCCAGGGGGUAAUUUGGGAAGCCCGUGGUGAGGAGGCAAGAGGGAGUGGCAAGCAUCUACUGAACACCUGCUAGGUAGCAGGCAGUGCAGUCCUGGUGCAUUUAACCCUACAACUGUGGCCAGGUGGGACUCUGCCCAAUUCACAGAUCUAAAGAAAGUGCCUGAGGACUAAGGCAGGUCACUUGCCCAAGGAAGAUCACCUAGUGGUGGAACCAAGAAGCAAAUCAAGGUCUGCCUGACUCCAAGGCUAUUCUGAGGGAGCAUAUCCCAGAGGGAGGCCUCAAGAAGCGAGCUUGGGCUGAAACAACGCAGUGGCUUGAGCUCGUACCCAACCCACCCAGGGUACGGGGUGUCACCUCCAAUGUCAGCAGUGUUCUCCAGGCUGCUCUCAAACUUCUGGCCUCAAGUGAUCUGUCCACCUCGGCCUCCCAAAGUGCUGGGAUCAUAGGCGUGAGGGACACCGCACCCCGCCUAAAAUUUUUCACUAAGUUCAUCAUGACAGUCCUAGGAGGUAAGUACCACUAUCAUCUUCUUUUUAUGUGGCAACUGAGAACAGGUCAAGUAACUUGCUCAAAUCACACAGCCAGGUUAAGAAGCCAGGCCUAGGACCCUGGCUGAAGCUCACAGUCCCUGCUCCUAGCCGCUGUGCUGCCUCACUGCAGGCUGCGCUUGCUUGUAUGCAGGGCCCCCGGGCCCAGCUUCUGGCCUCUUUUCAGUUGAGGGCCUAAAUUCUGUCUGGUCCCACCUGGGAGUGAGCAGUGACAGCCGAGUGACAGAAGCAAAGUCCAUAAUUUAACCGCCUGAUUCCCUCACACUGGCCAACAGGGCUCUGGGACUCCGACUUACAAGCGUCAGCCCAUUCUAAAUGGUGCUCCUGUCAUCUCUUGCUUAAAAAAUAAAAGUGUUAAUAUAAUUAUAGAACCAAUACUUGCUCAUUAUAGAAAUUAACUCAGGCAAGUGUCUAUUUAAGCAGACAAAAGUUACCCAUAAUGCUGCUUCUCAGAGAUGACCACCUCCUCUGGGGUGGUAUUUCUUUCCAUGUAUGUAUAUUUUAAGCACAUAUGUACUAUUUGCUCCUUUCUUUUUUUUUUAUUGAAAUGAAGUCUUGCUCUGCUGCCCAGGCUGGAGUGCAAUAGCACAAAUCUUGGCUCGCUGCAACCUCCGCCUCCUGGAUUCAAGUGAUUCUCCUGUCUCGGCCUCCCAAGUACCUGGGAUAUAGGCAUGCGCCACCAUACCGUCUAAUUUUUUUGUAUUUUGUAGAGACGAGGUUUCACCAUGUUGGCCAAACUGGUCUCAAACUCCUGAUCCAAGUGAUCUACCCGCCUUGGCCUCCCAAAGUGCUGGGAUUAUAGGCGUGAGCCACCGCCCCAGCCUUAUUUCCUCUUUUCAAAAAUGGGAUCAUACCGUACAUGUAGUUUUAUUCUCUGCCUUUUAAACAGGUAAAUAUUUUCUCAUCUGUAGACGCCACUCAUCUAAUCAUUCUGCUUCAGAGCCCUUAUCACCGCCCAGCAAGUUGUAUAUUUCACCUGUCUGCUUACCGUCUGUCACCCCGGAAUGGAAGUCCCAUGAAUCUGUUGUGUUCACUGUUGUUCUCCCAGUGCCAGAAGCCUUGAAUGGUAUAUUGGUUCUCUACUGGGACAAGUCCUAACGUGUACAAUAAAUCAUAUUGUUUGCUGAGAACGAUGGCAAGGAAAACCUAGCCAGUCCCACCCCAAGUGGAAAACUGCUCGGGGCAUUCUAAAAGCAGCAGCAAAACAGUAUAUGUAUAUCACACACCGGUUAAAACAAUUCUUUAAGCAGGAAUAUGUGACCCAGCCCCCAUGGCUCCCUCGUGGAGAAUACUUUCUAGUUUGUCCUUGAUCAGUGGUAAGCAGGCACCAGCUGCCUAGCCUGUUUAUCUUGGGUCUAUGAGAAAACACAGAGCACCUGUUUGUUAAUAAGACUCACCUGUUGAGAGAGUAACUAUAUGGGUCAGAAUCUGUCCAAGGCCCUCAGCCAGAAUGCCGUAAUCCCCUGGGGCUCUCAGCUUGGAAGGCUGCUGGGCCUUGGACAGUCCCACUUUGCUGUUCUUUUUGGGUGUCUGCCUUUUUUUUUUUUUUUUUUUUAAAGACAGUCUCACUCUGUCGCCAGACCCCAGGCUGGAGUGCAGUGGCACAAUCUCUCCCAGGUUCAAGCAAUUCUCCUGUCUCAACCUCCCAAGUAGCUGGGACUACAGGCGCACACCACCACGCCCAGCUAAUUUUUGUAUUUUAGUAGAGAUGGGGUUUCACCAUGUUGGCCAGGAUGGUCUCGAUCUCUUGGCCUCGUGAUCUGCCCUCCUCAGCCUCCCAAAGUGUUGGGAUUACAGGCAUAAGCCACCACGCCCGGCUGGCUGCUUCUUAAUGCCUUCAGCCCCAGCUGGGUGGGGGUCUCUAGGCUUAGCUGGUCUUGGUAGUUCUCCAGAGAUAUUUGUCGAAUAAAUGAAUGAAUAAACAAGCGCAAUUUUGUAUCCUUUUUCUGAGGGCCUUCUGUGGCUCAGGUACUGCCUAGAGGAGAGGUAAGUAAAGAAACACAAAACUGGCCAGGCGCGGUGGCUCACGCCUGUAAUCCCAGCACUUUGGGAGGCCAAGGCAGGUGGAUCAUAAGGUCAGGAGUUCGAGACCUGCCUGGUAAACAUGGCGAAACCUCGUCUCUACUAAAAAUACAAAAAUUAGCCAGACAUGGUGGCGGGCACCUGUAAUCCCAGAUACUCAGGAGGCUGAGGCAGGAGAAUCGCUUGAACCUGGGAGGAGUUUGUGGGGCAUGCGCAGAGAACUGCACUCCAGCCUGGGCAAGAGUGAGUCUCUCUGUCUCAAAAAAAACAAAACAAAGCACAAAACCUGGUGUGAAGUCUCAUCUCGAACAUGUCGGAUGAGAGCAGCACGUUCACACCUUCCUGUUCAUCCUGAAACAAGUAGGGGCUUUACACUCAAGCACAGGGCCAUCAGGAAAGCUGUGUAACACACACACACACACACACACACUCAGAUAUAGAUCAGGCCAGAGUGAUGGUUCAGCUGGAGACAGCAGCCUACUAAGCUCACAUCCCGUCAAGGCUGCCUCUAACCACUGCAUCAUCAACUGUCUGCACAGUCUGACCUUGUGUGCACACAGCAGAGACUACACGAUUCACUGCUGUGUCGCUAGUGCCCAGCACAUAAUAGGCUGUCAGUAAGUCAUACAGAACUGAAUCUGGGGUUGAAUUGAAUUCUCCACCGUAAAAAUGGCCAGCAGGCUGAGUACCGCCUCAUUUGCAUACAAAUUUCUCCACGGCCUCUCUGGGGUUUCUAACAGGGAGCAGCCCUGAACACGUGCUUUUACAAAGGCAUGAGCAGAAUGGGGACUGUCUGAGCAGGCACCGCCAUGACAAGCAAAUGCGAUGGCCAACAGUUGAAACACAUGCUGUAAUGUCCGCAGAUGAGAUGAAACAGAGCAGGAUCUGCCUCACAACAAUAUGGAGCAAACAAGUCCGAGGGAUCUUUUAGGGGGUGAUAGAAAUAUCAAAAAUUGGAUUACGGUGAUGGCUGCACAGGUCUGUUUACCAAAAAUCACUGAACUGCACACACUUAAACAGAAUGAUGUGGCCGGGCAUGGUGGCUCACACCUGUAAUCCCAGCCCUUUGGGAGGCUGAGGCAGGAGGAUCAUGAGGUCAGGAGUUUGAGACCAGCCUGGCCAACAUCGUGAAACCCCUUCUCUACUAAAAUGACAAAAAAAUUAGCUGGGCAUAGUUGCAGGUGCCUGUAAUGCCAGCUACUUGGGAGGCUGAAUCAGGAAAAUCACUUGAACCCGGGAGGCAGAAGUUGCAGUGAGCUGAGAUUGCACCAUUGCACUCCAGCCUGGGCAACAGUAUGAGACUCUGCCUCAAAAAAAAAAAAAGCAACGACUUUUCUGAUAUUAAGUUUAUCUCAAAAAAGCUGUUGAACGAUAAUACAGCAGCGGAACCAUAGCUCCCCAAGGACUGACUGUGAGUUGGUGAUUGCUGCAGUCGGGUGACAGGGACACAAGUGUUCACUGUGCUAGUCUCUCUACUCUCGUGCAUGGCUGAAAUUUUCCAUUAAGGUUUUUAAAAAAUACACUGCUCCAGCCGGGCAUGAUGGCUCAUAACUGUAAUCCCAGCACUUUGGGAGGCCGAGGUGGGCAGAUCACUUGAUGUCAGGAAUUUGAGACCAGCCUAGUCAACAUGGUAAAAUCCCAUCUCCAUCAAAAAGUAAAAAUUAGCUGGGCAUGGUGGCACAUGCCUGUAGUCCCAGCUACUCAGGAGGCUGAGGUGGGAGGAUCACUUGAACCCAGGAGGUGGAGGUUGCAGUGAGCCAAGAUCAUGCCGCUGCACUCCAACCUGGGAGACAGAGUGAGACCCUGUCUCAAAAAAAAAAAAUACACUGCUCAAUAAGCUUAGAGAAAGAACUAAUAGGCAUUAAGACAAAAGAGCGGAGGAGGAAAAGGAUUCAGAUUUGCAGUCCUUGCUCUUCCCAUAAAGGAAUGAUAGAAAGUUGUGAAAUUAUUUUUAUUUUUAAAACUAUAAAAUAAUAGUUCUGUUUAAUAAGCAAUUUGAGCAGUGUUAUAUACAAUGGGGCUCCACCCAAGAGUAGAUGAUUUUUGAUUCCUUUCAAUAAACGGAAUAAAAGUGCAAUAGUUCACAUUCUGACCAGAGCCAGGCCAAACAGUGAGGCUGUAGGUUCACAAAAGUCACCAGUGCAAAUACCAGCACAGAGCCCUGCUGGAGCGUGUCUGAUGCAGUCAAGUGAAACUUGACUGGCGUCUGAGUGGGGACAGGUGGGCGGCUGUCACAGUUCUCAGGAGCAGGGUGGCUGAACAGAACUCAUCCCAGUCUCCACGAAGAACAGAAGACACCUUCCAGAGCGAUGAAGAUCAGCACUGACGGGGAAAACCACCAAGCUGCUUGGAUCCACUUGGCAGAGACAAGAGCCUGGCAUGGUGUAAUUUCACAAGCCAAACAAAGCCGUUACGUAAGCAGAAAAAGGACAAAAGGGCUCACACUAAGAUAAGACUGACUCCUUCCAGCCAGGAGUGGGACACUGAGGCCGCAGGGAGGACUUGGUGGCUGCACUCCAGCCACCUCUGGCAAUGGGGUUUGUUGCAAGGGGUGUGGGGAGCCCUCUCAGCACCUCUCAGGCAGGCUUUGGAGAGAGCUGCAGGGCCUUCCUCGCCUCUCAGGGUGUAGCCACAAGUGGGCAUCCUUCCCUCCUGCUCCUAUGUCCCUGCCAUGUGUUCGGGGACCCAGCAACUCUCCAAGGGGAGGACCCUACUUACCAGUCACUUCAUGGCCCUCAGACCCUCCGUGUGCCCAGGCUAUGGAUAAUGCAGUCUCUGCCCUAGCCAGCUUGACUCGGGUUUAGGUGAUGCCACAUACUGGUACAGCUUCCUCAGAAGAGGCUACGGGCAUGACAGACACGUAAGUGUUUGAUCUAAUGAGACUUCCUAUUCUAAACGCUACAGAGGUCUAAUAGGAAGUCCACACAAAAUGAGGCUCACAGGUCACGCCAGGAAAUAGCCCCAAACUCCCUUGUCCACGUCUGUUUCCACUUUCCCGUGCGUGACUCGUGUCCGAAUUGAAGUGGACUGCAGGUCAUUCUCCACCCUUUAACCUCCCCCUGCCAAACUCCUGCUUCUACAUCAGAUUCCAAUAGAACUUUCUGUGGUGAUGGAAAUGUUCUCUGCCUGUGCUGGCCAAUAUGGUAGCCUGUGGCCUCCUGUGACUACUGAGCCUUUAUCAUGGGCCAGUGUGAUUAAAGAACUGAAUUCUUAAUUUGAUUUUCAUUAAUCUAAAUUUAAAUAGCCUCCCGUAGCCCGCGGCUCUGGUAUUAUAUAGUUCUAGAUUCUCCAUGAAGCACUCUCUGCCCUCCUGGUCCCCACACUGAGGGCACCUCUCCCACUGACCCUUUCUCUAGCUCCUGACACAGCUCCUUCCAGGUCUCAGGCCCUUCAUGAGACGAAACUUAUUCAUAUCCAGGCAGGGUUUUCUCCGGGUCUCACAAAGCAGCCACUCAAUAAAAGAGCUCACUACGUGUUUGUCCUAUUCAGUGGGACCAGACCUUUGUUCCUACCUAGAUUAAGUGUUGGGCUUCUAGGAAUGGCUGCUCAGCUAGUCUGGGGAAGUCUGUAAACUUUCAUAGGUGUCAGCCAGGGAGCGGGCCCUCCAGCCAUGACCCGAGUUCAUUUCUACGGAAUCCCAGUUGUAUUUCCACUCAGUUCGAUGGGUGCCGUUUUCUAGCGGUGUGGCCUUAACUUGAUAGCAAGUCUCAGUUUCUUCACCCAUAUAACAAAAGUGCUAAUAUACUCUAUAAGGAAGUUAUGAGGAUAGAAUCAGCCAACACAUGUAAAGCGCUGUGCUUGACACAAAGUGUUGAUACAGUACAUUAUAAAGUAUACAAUAAGUAGUGAAAUUACUAACAUUUAAAGGUUGACAGUUGAGCUUUGGUCUAAAAGGCACCUCUGGGCUUAGCAUUAAAUUAUCAAAUAUCUUUAAAAAAUGCAUAUCCUUAGACCCAGUAACUUCACCUCUAAUAAUUUUGAAACACUCGUGCAUAUAGGCCAAGAUGUAUUUGUGAGAAUAGUCAUGACAGUGUUACAAAAGUGGAAAAAUGAGAAAACCUGUAGCUAUCAAAUAGUCCCUGUGAAUCAGAUCAAUUAUAGUUAUAGUUCAGCCUUAUGACACAAGGCUUUGUAGUCAUUAACAAAAAUGUUCCCCUAGCAAAGAAAAAAAAUCAGGCAUCAAAGUGGUAACUCCACCCCUUCCAUCACCCUAAUAAAGCCACAGGUAAUAUAUUAAAAAAUGCUCUAGACAGAAUGCUAAUGGCGACUCUUGAGGGGUCAUGGCAUUAUGGGUGAUUAUUUCCCCUUCGUGCUUUUUCUGUAUUUUUAAAAAUUUUGUAUUAAAAAUAUCACUACUUUUGUAAUUAUGAAAAAUGUAGCUUUAAAUAAUCUUUCAUAACCUGGGAAAAUAUUCAUGACAAAUAUUAAAAAGGUUAAGAAAGACUCAUGGUGUGAAAAUACAACCACUGAGAGGAAAAUGGAAGCCACAUGCCUGGUGCAUUAACUGUGGUUAGCACUGGUUUUAACUCAGGCUUUUAGAUUAGGGGAGUGGAUGUUCUAGUUUGCUCAGGCAAAUCCCAGUUUUUUCUUUUUUUGUUGUUGUUUUUGAGAUGGAGUUUUGACCUUGUCACCCAGGCUGCAGUGCAAUGGCAUGAUCUCAGCUCACUGCAACCUCCUCCCAGGUUCAAGCGAUUCUCCUGCCUCCGCCUCCCAAGUAGCUGGGAUUACAGGUGUGCACCGCCACGCCUGGUUAAUUUCAUAUGUUUAGUAGAGAUGGGGUUUCUCCACGUUGGUCGGGCUGGUCUCGAACUCCUGACCUCAGGUGAUCCACCUGCCUUGGCCUCCUGAAGUGCUGGGAUUACAGGUGUGAGCCAACACGCCAGGCCAAAUCCGUUUUACACUUGUGACCAGCUGGCCAAAGGGUCUCCUUUCCUGCUCGAAAGUAUCCUGCUAAAUUACACAGCCAACCUCAUUAAGAGGAGUUCUAAUUUUCUCCUUUGUGUUUUUCUAGACUUCUAAAUUCUAGUGAUCUCAAUGUGUUUCCUUAAUUCCAAUUUGUACCUUUUUCUUCGACAUUUUAAUGUUGAGAUUGGAAUGUACUAUACAACAGAUUGGCACUCUUCCCCCACCAACCGAGCAAGUUAUAAAAAUCAAUGGUCAUAAGGUUGGUGGGACCUUAGAAUUAAGGAAAUGUAGCUUGUUAAUUUACAAAUGGGAAAAAUAUAGAAAAUACAUCAAAUUCUCUUUUUUUCCCCCUGGAAAGUCAAGAUUCUAAGACCUGGAGAACUGGAUAAAAUCAGACAGAUGAAAUCCCUAUACCCAGCUGGCUCUUACAGGGUUAGGAGCUGAUGUUUCCUGCAGGUUCUCUGAUUGUCAAUAACAAAAUAAAAGGAUGUGAUAGCCAAGAAAUCUUCUCCAGUACCGGCAGGAGCGGUGCAGGAUCUAUGGCCCUUCCUGAGACGUAAGCUUUUUUAUAAUGAGCUGAAAUAAUACCAGUAUUGAUAAUUACCUUCAUAAAUGGCUAAUGCUCAUUAGGCACUUAUCAUGUGCCAGGCAUAGGGCUGUCAAAUUAUUAGACAACCCUAUUAUUUCCCUCACUCUACAGAUGAGGAAACUGAGGCACAGAGAGGCACCUGCUCUAGGCCAUAGAGCUGUCUGCACAGAGUUGGGAUUCAGUCCUUUUUAUCUGACUCCAAAGUCUGUUUUUGUUUUGCUUUUCUGAAUUGAGAUGGAGUCUCACACUGUUGCCAGCGCUGGAGGGCAAUGGCACAAUCUCGGCUCAUUGCAACCUCUGCCUCCCAGGUUCAUGUGAUUAUCCUGCCUCAGCCGCCCGAGUAGCUGGUAUUACAGGCACACACCACCACACCCCAGCUAAUUUUUUUUUUUUUUUUUUGGUAUUUUUUAUAGUAGAGACAGGGUUUCACUAUAUGGGCCAGACUGGUCUUGGACUUCAGACCUCGUGAUCCACCUGUCUUGGCCUCCCAAAGUGCUAGGAUUACAGGCGUGAGCCACCACGCCCGGCCGAGUCUGCUUUUUAACCACUGACACUGCUUCCUGCCUCUUCUUUUUUUUUUUUUUUUUGAGACGGAGUUUCACUCUUGUUACCCAGGCUGGAGUGCAAUGGUGCGAUCUCGGCUCACCGCAACCUCCGCCUCCUGGGUUCAGGCAAUUCUCCUGCCUCAGCCUCCUGAGUAGCUGGGAUUACAGGCACGUGCCACCAUGCCCAGGUAAUUUUUUGUAUUUUUAGUAGAGACGGGGUUUCACUAUGUUGACCAGGAUGGUCUCAAUCUCUUGAGCUCGUGAUCCACCCGCCUCAGCCUCCCAAAGUGCUGGGAUUACAGGCGUGAGCCACUGCGCCCAGCCCGCUUCCUGCCUCUUCAAUGUUUUUUCUCCGCGUUGCGCCUCCGGCCUCUGUUUUCAGCAAAGCUGUAAUUAUAAAGGUUUCCCAGACCAGGACAGUGGCUCAUGCCUAUAAUCCCCACACUUUGGGAAGCUGAGGUGGGCGGAUCUCUUGAGCUCAGGAGUUCGAGACCAGCCUGGGCAACAUGGCAAAACCCCUUCUCUACAAAAAGUUGCAAAGUUAGGUGGGUGCAGUGGCCCACACCUGUGAUCCAGCUACUCGGAAGGCUGAGACUGGGAGGAUUGCUUGAGGUCUGGGAGGUUGGGGCUGCAGUGAGCCAUGAUCAUGCCACUGCACUCCACUCUGGAUGACAGAGUGAGACUGUUUUUAAAAAAAAAGAAAGAAAAAACCUUUCCCCAAGGGCUCAGUGGUCUGGGAGAGAGUGCAAGAAGCUAAAACAAGAUCUCUGCAACCAGAUAUUCUGAUUCCUUUGGCCUUGGUAAUGGGGUAUAAAAGAACACCAAAUACUGCAUUAAUGUCCUGUGGCUGUGUUUUCCAAAAACUGCCACAGCGACACGUCUAGUCUCAUAUGCUCUUGCAGAACCUUGCCACUCCCUACCAAGAAGCAGAGUCUGUUUCCUCUCCUGCUGAAGCUGGGCAGGGCUUGGUGGCCACCUGUAAAGUGAUGGAAGUGACACAGCGUGACCUGCAAGGUGAGGUCGCAGCCUAUGAUAGCAGUUCUUCCUGAUCCACACUUUCAGGCUGCUCAUCCUAGGAACCCUGGUACCAUGUUACGAGAGGCUUAGACCACUGGAGAGGCCGUGUGUAGCUGUCAUGGCCCAUCAGGCCCCCAGGCAGCAUCAACUGCAACAUGAGACCAUAAGCCUUCAGAUGACUCUGGCCCCAGCUUUCCAGUCUUCCCAGCUGAGGCCUCAGGCUUUGAGGAGUAGAGACAAGCCUUCACUGCGCCCUGCCUGAAUUCCUGACCUGCAGAAGUGGUGAGAGUAAGUGGUUGUUUUACACCACCACAUUUCUGAGUGAUCUGUUAACGGAACAAGCACUUAAACAGAAAAAGGUCCUAUCUGGCCUCUAUUGAAAGUAACAUAUGCAUUGUUCUGGGUUUCAUGUUUUGAUUCUUUGCGCGGGGAAGUUGAAAUCUAUCCAGAGGACAGUGACAAGCACAGGUGUAACAGAGACACCAUCUGUGACCUGCACCUGGGGGUCUGGCUUCAAAAUGUGUCCUCAGCAGAUACUCUUGGGAUGGCUCAGCUAAAAGGCAGCUGUCACCUCUGAGAAGCUUGUUACUGGGUAUUAUACAAUGAAAGCACCCUGGUGGCCAAACCUUGAGAAUGGCUUGAUAAACGCCCACCUCCAUACCACAUCACUGGAGUUCUGUUCGUUCUGAAUCCUCUGCAGACUAGAGGCUCUAACGGAGCUAAGUGCCAGGCCUGGAGCCUCCACGCUCUGCUUCAGGUCAAUGAAAAAUGCCAGUGACAGAGGCACUUGUGAGAGCCCUUGGUUUUGGUUUUCCAGUAGCCACAGAAACCAGGAAGGAGCAGUAGGAAGACACAGAACUGCCUCCACCCUCCUCUUGGCCCCUACCCCGAGCAGCUUGUAAGAAUCAUUUACUUAUGUUUCCUGUAAGACUCCAUUUGAACAGAGUUCUACCAGCAAAUACAUCUACAUAUUGAUUUUUCUUAAAAUGAAAUGCGGCCACUCUCAGUGCCACAGCAGAGGCAGGUCCUUUUGAGUUUGGUGUGCUCAUACCACCCACCGUGUGCUUUGUGACAAUGCAUCUGAUCACUUUUCUCUACCCAAGCUACUAUCCUGCUGGCCUCAGAAGGAUGAGAGGCAUGUGGACAGUGCUGCCAGUGCAGUUACCCCAGCUGAAGCCAGCCGCCAACCCCCAGCCGCAGAAGCAAGCCUGAUUUAUAACGAGCAGAGCCAUCCCCAGCUGACCUCAGUCACGUGAGUAAUGCACUCUUCCUGUGUAUGCCCCGAGGCUUCGUGUCUACAGUUAUGAUGGCUGGACUUAGAUAGUUCAACUUAACGAUUUCUCAACGUUACAAUGGUGUGGAGUGAAUAUGCAUUCAGUACAACAUCAAUAUAUGACUUGGUUAUUCAAUACUUUAUUACCAAAUAGGCUUUGUAUUAAAUGAUUUUGCCCAACCGUAGGCUCACGUAAAUGUUCUGGGCAUGUUUAAGGUGGCGAGGCUAAGCGAUAAUGUUUGGUAGAUUGACGGUAUUUAAUGCAUUUUUCACCUAACAGUACUUUUAACUUCAAUGGAUUUCUCAGGAGUAACCCCACCGUAAUAUCUGUAUUUGUUAUCCAGCAAAAGCUAACUGAUAGAUUUGUUUUCAGAAUUUUCCUGGUUUCCCUGUCAGGCAACCCCAGCUUUCAAAAAGGGAAGGAGAAUGAAGUUACUUAUUCAAGGAUUAUUUACUCAGGGCUAAACACACAUCCAGCUCUGUGCUUGGCAUUAGGCAUGAGACUGGCUGCCAUUUUGUCAAAGAGAAUCCUAAGGAACCUUGACACAGAAGAAAUAGUUCUGCUGCUGAGCUCUUUGGCCACUAUCCUGGGGAAAUAAGUAUUUGGAGAAGCUGUGGGGCCAGUCCCAGCAGGAGGCCUGGCACCCCGCCCUGGGUACAUGCCAGAAGUGAGUGCCUGUUGAGCUUCAAAGUGUGGGUGUAGGCCGCCUUGAUUAAAACCCCAGGCAGCACAAUGCCAAAUAAGUGCCAGCUUGGGAAGAAGAAAUUAGUCUGGGAUAAAAAAUGACAAAGCAAGAAUACAAAAGCCAUUAAGGGAUUUGUAAGCACGUGUCACGGAUGAAGAAUCACUAUUGUUGAGAAUGAGCGAUCAUUGCGUGGUGCCCGUGGGGCCUGGGGAAGGAAGUCUGAGUGUUCGCCAAAGGCUGGCGGUCCAUCAGAGGAAGGAAGGCCGAACAGGAGCAAUGAAGCACAGCUAGUAUAACCCCACAAGUCGGAUGGUCACUCAGCAUAGACAGAACGGGCCAGUUCACCCCGCUGGGCCUCAGUUUCCUCAUCUUUGGCAUGGGGGAUAAUAAUCAAAUGUACCACAAAGAGUUAAUACAAGGAUUAAAUGAACCAACUCAGGCAAAAUAUUUAGAACAGUCUGGUAUGGCUCCUGUAAAUGCUCAACAAAUGUUGGCUUUCUUUUUUUUUUUUUUGAGAUAGAGUUUUGCUCUUGUUGCCCAGGCUAGAGUGCAGUGGCACGAUCUCAGGUCAUUGCAAACUCUGCCUCUGGGUUCAAGCAAUUCUCCUGCCUCAGCCUCCCAAAUAGCCGGAAUUACAGGCGCCUGCUACCAUGCCUGGCUAAUUUUCAUAUUUUUAGUAGAGACAGCGUUUCACCAUGUUUGCCAGGCUGGUCUCGAACUCCUGAUCUUGUGAUCCAUCUACCUCGGCUUCCCAAAGUGCUGGGAUUACAGGCAUGAGCCACUGCGCCCGGCCAGAUGUUAGGUAUUAAAACUCCUUUUAGAAGUUUGUUGGGAGGAACAAAUGGGCUAAUGUUUAAGGUCUUGGCACAAAGUAGCACAAAAAUGAUGGUUCCUCUAAGUGCAGCGUGUGAUCACCAGGAGAUGAGCACGACAUGAAGACAGCUCAGACAUGGACCCUGUCCUAAAGGGUAAGGAGCUCAAGAUCCAGACACAAGUAACAGUGACAAAAUGGGAUAAAUGCCACCAGAGAGCUACGAUUUGUGAGGGAUGAUGCCGGGAGAAAGGAGAGGUCAGGCACGUCCCCUAUGAAGAGUACAUGUGGCCCUGGUGUGGCUUCCACCAGAGGAUUCCAACACACAGAAAAGGGGAAGCGGAGUCUUCUGGCAGUGGGAACACAGCCACAGAAGGCAUGGGGCGGGAAAGCACAAGGGCAUAUUUGGGAACAAGAGGGUUUUUGUCCAUGUUAGGCAAACAGCACAGAUAUGUGAAGAGGAGUGACGGGAAGCAAAGCUGGCAGGAUGCAGGGGGCAUCAGAUUCCAAGCUGGGGAAGUAGAUGUGCCAGAUGGGCAAUGGGGAGCCAGUGAAGGUUAUUAAGCAGAGUAGAGCCACAGCAGAACUGUUCUUAAGGAAAAUGAAUAUAAUAGCAGGUGGACUGGAGAUGGGAGAGAAGAGACACAGAAGUCAGUUUGCAGGAGGCUAUGUCAGUUCCACCAAGGCAAAAAGGAGAAACGGAUAAAGCCAAAAGAACACCAGCCACAGAGAGAGGAAAGACAGGAUUCAGAAUCACCCACCCAGGACUAUGAAUAUGUGAGUAUUUCAGAAGAAAGGACCCAAAGUGGACUGAGUCAUUAACAGGCUUACAAAGAAGCCCCAGGCUAUCAAAAACCCUCCAAAAAAUAUUAGCAUAUCUUAUCUAAUAUAUAUAAGAAGUAGAAAUGCUUGGGAGGCCAAGGCAGGUGGAUCACGAGGUCAAGAGAUCAAGACCAUCCUGGCCAACAUGGUGAAACCCCGUCUCUACUAAAAGUACACAAAACUAGGUGGGCAUGGUGGUUGUCCCAGCUAUGUGGGAGGCUGAGGCAGGAGAAUUGCUUGAAACCAGAAAACGGAAGUUGCAGUGAGCCAGGAUCACGCCACUGCACUCUAGCCUGGCGAUAGAGCAAGACUCUGUCUCAAAAAAAAAAAAAAAAAAAAGAAGUAGAAAUGCACCACAGCUAAGGUUUAUCACAGGAAUGCAUGACUGGCUCAAUAUUUCCAAACAUUUCAAAUGUAUAUGCCUUAUGAACAGACAAAACAAGAAAAGGCAUAUAGUCAUAUCAAUUGAGGCAGAAAAGGCCUUUGACAAAAUUCAGUAUCCAGUCAUGACAAAAGAAAAAACUUUUAGCAAGGAUAGGAGGGAAUUUCCUUAACUGAGAAAGCGCAUUUACAAAACAGCCCACAGCUAACAUCAUUCUUGGUGAGACACUGCACACUUUCUCCCUGAUAUAGGGAACAAGGAAAAGAUGUCUUUUCUCACAUUCUUAUACUGCUGGAAGUUGCAAUAAGGUAAGAAAAAGAAAUAAAGGCAUAUGGAUUGAAAAGGAAGAAACAAAAACUACUUCACUGGUAGACAGCAUGAUCUAUGUAGAAAAUCUCAUAGAAUCUACUAAAAACCUGCUUAGAACUAAUAAAUAACUUUAGUAAUGUCAUGGAAUACAAAAUCAAUUCACAAAAAUCAACUGCAUUUCAAUAUCUUAGCAAUGAACAACUGAAGUUAUUAAAAACAAAGGAGAGGACUAUUUACAAUAGCAGCAAAAAGGGAAAUAUUUGUUUGGUAUAAAUCUAACCUUACUACCGUAUGAUGAAAACGAUAGAACACUGGGGAAAGAAAGAAGACCUAAAUAAUUGGAGGGGCUCACCAUGUUCAUGGAUUGAACAACAUGCUAUUGUUAAUGAGCCAGUUCUCCCCAAACGGAUAUGCAGGUUCAGCACAAUUUCCAUCCAGUCCCAGCGACAGGCUUUAUUACUAUUAUUUUUGUAAUAUUGGAAAACUGAUUCUACAAUUCAUAUGAAAAGGGAAAGGAAUUAGAAUAACCAAAACAAUUUUUCAAAAGAACACCAUCCGAUUUCAAGAUUUACCAUUAAGUUACAGUAAUCAAGACGGCGUGGAACAGUAAUCAAGAUCAAUGCAGCAAAACAGAGUCCAGAAAUAGACCAAAACACAGGAACAUAAUCAGCUGGUCUUUAAGAGAAGUAUAGGCCUGGCGUAGUGGCUCACACCUGUAAUCCAAGCAAGUUGGAGGCCAAGGCAGGCGGAUCACCUGGGUCGGGAGUUCAAGACCAGCCUGACCAACAUGAUGAAACCCCCGUCUUAAAAAAAAAAAAAGAGAGAGAGAGAGAGAGAAGUACAAAGGAAUUCAGUGGAGGCAUUGUCAACAAGUAGUGCUAGAACAACUCAAUAUUCACAUAUAAAACAAUGACCCUUGGCCCAACUUAGCCUCUUCUGCAAAAAUUAAUUGAAAAUGGAUCACAGACCUAAAAUAUAAAACUAUAAAACUUCUGGAAGGAAACAUACAAGAAAAUCUUUGUGAAAAAAUGUGAAUAGAUACUUCACCAAAGUGACUAUAUGGAUGGCAAAUAAGCACAUGAAAAGAUGUUCAACAUUAUAGUCUUCAGGGAAAUGGAAAUUAAAACCACAAUAAGGACAGGUGCCUGUAAUCCCAGCACUUUGGGAGGCUGAGGCAGGUGGAUCUCGAGUCCAAGAGUUCUAGACCAGCCUGAGCUACAUAGAAACAAUCUCUACAAAAAAUACAAAGAUUAGCUAGGUGUGGUGUUGCAUGCCUGUGGUCCCAGCUACACAGGAGGCUGAGGUGGGAGGAUCGCUUGAACCCAGAAGGCAGAAGUUGCAGUGAGGUGAGAUCAUGCCACUGCACUACAGCCUGGGCAACAGAGUGAGACCCUGUCUAAAAAAACCCAACAAAACAAAAACAAACCACAGUAAGAUAUCACUACAUACCUAUUUGAAUAGCUAAAAUUAAACAAAAUCCAAACCAGAAAAUACUGAUAAUAUCAAAUGCUGGCAAGUGUGGGAAACAACUAGAACUCUCAUACAUUGCUGUAGGAAUGCAAAACAGUACAGCCACUGUAAAAAACAAUUUUGCAGUCUCUUAUACAUUUGAAUACAUACUUAACAUAGGACCCAGCAACUAUUGAUAGGUAUUUACUUAAGAGAAAUGGAAACUUACAUUUAUACACACAAGAAAAACAUGUAAGUCAAUGUUUAUAGCAACUUUAUUCAUGAUUGCCAAAACCUGGAAACAGAUGUCCUUCAACUGGUAAGUGAAUAAAAGAGACACAUAUCUAUAUAAUGGAACACUACUCAGUCAUAGAAUAUUUUUAUUAUCCAUGUGAUAACAUGGAUUAAUUUAAACCCCUUUUCCUAAGUGAAAGAUGCCAUUCCCAAAGCUGCAUAUUAUGUGAUUCUAUGUAUAUGACAUUCUGGAAACAGAAAAACUUUAGGGAUGGAAAACAGAUCAGUGGUUGCCAGGAGUUACAAGGUGGGGAAAGGGUUGACUACAAAGGGGCCACAUGAGGGAACUGUAGGCUGAUGGAACUGUUCUGUACCCACUGUGGUGAUGGCUAUAUGACGAUGCAUUUGUCAAAGGCCACAGAAGGGCUCUAAGUGUUCUGAAAUUGAUUGUGGUGGACACUCUGUACCAUCAGGCCACAUUCUUUAGGCCACUAAAGACUACCGAAUUGUCACUUUGAAUAGAUGAUUUCUAUAGUAUGUGAAUUCUAUCUCAAUAAAGCUCUUAUUUUAAAAACUUAAAAGAAAAAGACACCUGCUGAGAGAUGGCACAAUGACGCUGCCGUGGAAUGAGAGUUAAGAUUGCGGAGGAGAGAUGAAAUUCAGAGGUCCCAGCCCUUAGUACACUCUAAAAAGUUCACUUCAUUUCCAUAGAACUUUUUCAGAACUCUGACUUUCUCUGCCCUGGAAUUUCUCGAUACUAAGAGAAAAACCCUCCAGCAAUGCCACAGCCCCCAACACUCACAGCUCCUCCGCACCAGAGCCCAGGCUUUUCUGAGCUUGCCCAGCAAUUCAUCUUCUUACCAAGUACAUAUAUGCAUGUAUAUAUCAUGAUUAGAACAACGCUGAUCUCAAAACGUUUCCCCUACUUCACAAGAGAAAACUGAGACCAAGAGAGGGGAUGCGAUUUACCCAGAUUACCCAUCUCGUGGGCAGCAGAGCCAAGAGCCGACCCAAUGCUCCUUUUUCAUCACCUUGAUGUCUACCUGGUUGGUAUGAUAUGCUCUACAGACGACGGUAAAUGCAAAAUGAAAUGCCUGAAAUACCUUGACCUAAGACCAGGUGGGCUCUCUCCUCAUGUGGACACAGACCUGGGUCAAUCUAAUAUUCUUAUCAAGGGGACUAGCAUAGAUAUGUAGAGGCAAGUUGGAGAUGUUCAAAGGGAAAAAGGAAAUGAAGACCUUGUGGAAAAUAUUAUAAAUAUGGAAUAGCGAGAACAGACCCAGAUGACUUCUGGGGAAAAGAUGAUUAAAGUUCUCACUAGACUACUGAAGGGAGGUAAUAAAAUAAUAACAGUCACUCAGAGCUCCAGUACUUCUACACAGUAACCCUGAGCAGGUAAUAUUAUCACCCCCUUCUCACAGAUGAGGGAACUGAGGCACAGAGAGGGCAGGUGACUUAUCCAAGAUCUCACUGAGGCAGCAGGAAUCCAGCAGUUCCACUGCCUCAGUUUCCCUCCCUUAUCAGGAGAUGAAGAGCAGCAUCAAAGAAAGUGCUGAAUCCCAACAGGAGGGCCUACUGGAAAGGCAGCAUGACAAUGGAAGAUGACCUGCAGGUGUCACAAAGCUGCUGAUGGUCUCAGGUCCCUGCUGGCUUACUUGACACAAGGCAAGGGAAGUUAGGAAGGUGGCCUGUGACCUGCAUGGCAGUGAGAAAGUCACUACUUGACAUUCUCAUCCUUUAGAGAGUGUGUCCACAAGGGGAUGUGUUAAAAUGCAGGUCCCUGGGCCCCUCAACCAGAGAUUUUAAUCGAGUAGGUCUGAGCUGGGACCCAGGAAUCUGCAUUUUGAACAGGUUUAUUUCCACCCCCAGCCAAAGUACUCUGGCUGGUCCCUGGCUAGACUGUGGACAACCUUGAUCUCUGCAGAAGGGAGGCAAGAUAAUACAGAUUAAGAGCUUGGCUUUGGAGUCAAAGGAUUCCUGGGUCAAAUUCCCAUUGCCUCUUAGCUGUGUGACCUGGAAAGGCUAUGUAACCUCCCAGGGCCUGUUUUCCCCCUGGAAAGUGGGGGUGACAAAUAGUACCCCGCUUAGAGAGUUAGCUCUUCUAAUACCUGAAAAGCAUUAAGCCAGCUCCUGGCAUGCAUCACAUGCUCUGCCCACAAUAGCUAAAAGCAAAAGUAAAACCCUCAUUGGGUCCAUGCAGCACUUCUGUUGUUGUAAACAACCUGCAGGCUCCGGAUCAUAACAUUCUUGGGCUAUGAUUUCCUCUUCCUUAACUGCAUUUUCUGGAAGGAAUUCUUCCUGUGUCUGAAUCAGAAACUCAACAGAAGCCACACUUCCUCAGCUUCCCUUUUCCUCCCACGAAGCUUCGGAGGUGGUUUCUUCCCCUCUCCCCUUGCCCAGGGGAUGGAGAUUGACAUUGCCUUAAAGUGGACACCUGUUCAGGGGCAGAUGGUCUGUGCAAUUUGAAUACUUAUUACCUUGGUAAUUUAUACCUCACCUCUUCCUAAGGUAAUGAGGCAAUAAAAGGAGACUACUAAGAAAUGUCAAAGAUGCGGUGAAGAGCAGAGACGUGCAGCAAACAGGAGCUGUGAAUGCAGUGCUGAAAUAUCCCUGUGAAGAGAGGCAAAGAAGGUGCACACUUUCAAAGUCAAUGGAAAGUGAAGAAUAAAACUGAACCAAGAUUUAGGUCUGUCCUUUGGGUCUGGGGUGGUGGAAUUCUCUGGAAAUAGACUCUGAGGAAGAGAUCUGCAUGAAAAAGUUAAUUGGGGAGUGCUCUCCAGGAGAUAACAGUGGGAGAUUAAGCGAGGCCAGGUGGAGGGAGGAUUUGAGCAGCCAAAACAAAGACCUUGGCUGAUCCUCCCAGGAGCUCUGAAGCUAGGACUGCUCUUCAGAGUCUUCUCUGUUGAAUCAAGGAGAGCAGCCUUUCAUGACUCUCCAUCGACCACGGGAUACAGGCUGCCCCCAGGGAGAGGGCAGGCAUCAUCUUGAGUGAGGUGAGUCCCUUUGGUGGACAUCAAUUUGUGGCGAGGGACUCAGCAGGCCACAUUCUUGGCGGGGGUCGGGGGGGGCGCUGAAUGCCUCAGCAAUAAAGGGGAUAUUGGGCACACACCAGGAUGUCCACUGCAAGGUUUUAAGUGGGUUCUUUCCCCCAAAAAAGUAGUUAAAAAAGAAUAGAAAAAUCUUGGCCCAAACUUGAAUAGCCACAUAGGAAAAAGCUGCCCACUGACUAGGAACCCUCAUGCUUGGGUCCCUAAUUGGGGAGGGAGAAAGGUAUUGUGUCAAUCAGUAACAUUUAAGAGUUAUUAGAUACAGCUGCCAGUGUUGCGUUAAUGAAACAAUUAAAAACUACGAGAAAUGCUGUGAAUGAAAAGAACUGGGUUCUAUUUGAGGAGUUAAAUUGGAGAUGAAGAUUAGUUACCUCUGAGUACAAACAAAAUGGACCAAAGGUACAUUAAUAGUAUCUUCUAAUCACUCUACUCUUGUAAUAGUUAAUAAAUGAAUCAGCUAA